rnacentral:rRNA from 1 species
GAUGAACGCUCGCUACAGGCUUAACACAUGCAAGUCGCGUGGCAGCAUGGGGGUUGCUUACCAUCCCCGAUGGCGACCGGAGCACGGGGGAGUAACGCGUAUCCAACCUGCCCUUCACCACGGGAUAACCCGGCGAAAGUCGGACUAAUACCGUAUGUUUUCCAUUGACGGCAUCCGAUUUGGACGAACGGUUUGGCGGCGAAGGAGGGGGAUGCGUCGGAUUAGCUGGACGGCGGGGUGACGGCCCACCGUGGCGACGAUCGGUAGGGGUUCUGAGAGGGAGGUCCCCCACACGGGAACUGAGACACGGUCCAGACUCCUACGGGAGGCAGCAGUGAGGAAUAUUGGUCAAUGGGCGUAAGCCUGAACCAGCCAAGUAGCGUGCAGGAGGACGGCCGUAUGGGUUGUAAACUGCUUUUAUGCGGGGAUAAAGUGGCCCACGUGUGGGUUUUUGCAGGUACCGCAUGAAUAAGGACCGGCUAAUUCCGUG